rnacentral:rRNA from 1 species
UACAGAGGGGGCAAGCGUUGUUCGGAAUUACUGGGCGUAAAGGGCGCGUAGGCGGCCUUCUAAGUCGAACGUGAAAUCCCCGGGCUCAACCCGGGAACUGCGUCCGAUACUGGAAGGCUUGAAUCCGGGAGAGGGAUGUGGAAUUCCAGGUGUAGCGGUGAAAUGCGUAGAUAUCUGGAGGAACACCGGUGGCGAAGGCGACAUCCUGGACCGGUAUUGACGCUGAGGCGCGAAAGCCAGGGGAGCAAAGCAGG